rnacentral:lncRNA from 1 species
UUGCGGGUGGGUGGCGCGGACCUCGGGUCCCCAGCCAUCGGCGCUCUCCCGGGGCCCUCUGACCUCGCUCCUUAAAGGAGGAGGGUCCGUGGCAACGGUCCUCCUCGGCCAGGCGCUCUCGGGACGCGGGGGUGAGGAGUGAGCGCCGUGGCCCACCCUACUCUCCGAGCGGGGACGGAGUGGGCGACACCGCGCGCCCGGCUGCACGCAGGCUCUGCGCGGCUCGAGGCGGCCCUACAGGGGGCGAGGAGGAACCCCGGAGACUCGGCGGAGAGAGCAGAGACGGAGCUCACCAAGGGGCUUGCCGCCGCAGAGCGCGGGAGCCGGCACUCGGGGUACUUAACCGAAACUAGCAAUCCCAGGCGGUACAAGGCCCUCCAUCGUAGGCAAAGCACUACCUGAAUGUAGAUUUGGGCCAUACGUUGGAAAAUAAGACAUGAGAGUAUGCUCCGAUCAACUUUUACUGUUCACUGGACAACUAUUUUGGGAAUUUGCAGACCUAUAAAGCCCAUCUAUAAAUCUCAAGCAUGUCCACUUUCAGAGAAGAGAAAUGCUGACAACCAUUUAGUCUCUGAGGACAACACUUUUAAAGUGUAACAAUGUGGCAUCCAGAGCUUAUCCAGAUGAGCGGAGAGCAAAUGAAUUUCCUUCUGCUCCCCUGUUGAAGAGGAGAGAAAAAUUCUUCAAGCUCACCUGUUCUUCUCAUCGCUGGACCUAUAAAGUGGCAUUAAUCAUCAAGAGUCCAGCAGAAUUGGGAAAGUCAUGUAUGCUGCAAAGUACAUUCCAAAGUCUUAAAAUAUUCUUGUCUUAUCCACUGUUGUUUAUUUGUUUACUUAUUUUUAAACAAACAUCUGUUUGAAAGAGGGAGUGCUAACUGUGUGUUCUGGUAUCCCU